rnacentral:rRNA from 1 species
GGGUUGUGAGGUUAAGCGACUAAGCGUACACGGUGGAUGCCCUGGCAGUCAGAGGCGAUGAAGGACGUGCUAAUCUGCGAUAAGCGUCGGUAAGGUGAUAUGAACCGUUAUAACCGGCGAUUUCCGAAUGGGGAAACCCAGUGUGUUUCGACACACUAUCAUUAACUGAAUCCAUAGGUUAAUGAGGCGAACCGGGGGAACUGAAACAUCUAAGUACCCCGAGGAAAAGAAAUCAACCGAGAUUCCCCCAGUAGCGGCGAGCGAACGGGGAGCAGCCCAGAGCCUGAAUCAGUGUGUGUGUUAGUGGAAGCGUCUGGAAAGGCGCGCGAUACAGGGUGACAGCCCCGUACACAAAAAUGCACAUACUGUGAGCUCGAUGAGUAGGGCGGGACACGUGGUAUCCUGUCUGAAUAUGGGGGGACCAUCCUCCAAGGCUAAAUACUCCUGACUGACCGAUAGUGAACCAGUACCGUGAGGGAAAGGCGAAAAGAACCCCGGCGAGGGGAGUGAAAAAGAACCUGAAACCGUGUACGUACAAGCAGUGGGAGCACGCUUAGGCGUGUGACUGCGUACCUUUUGUAUAAUGGGUCAGCGACUUAUAUUCUGUAGCAAGGUUAACCGAAUAGGGGAGCCGAAGGGAAACCGAGUCUUAACUGGGCGUUAAGUUGCAGGGUAUAGACCCGAAACCCGGUGAUCUAGCCAUGGGCAGGUUGAAGGUUGGGUAACACUAACUGGAGGACCGAACCGACUAAUGUUGAAAAAUUAGCGGAUGACUUGUGGCUGGGGGUGAAAGGCCAAUCAAACCGGGAGAUAGCUGGUUCUCCCCGAAAGCUAUUUAGGUAGCGCCUCGUGAAUUCAUCUCCGGGGGUAGAGCACUGUUUCGGCAAGGGGGUCAUCCCGACUUACCAACCCGAUGCAAACUGCGAAUACCGGAGAAUGUUAUCACGGGAGACACACGGCGGGUGCUAACGUCCGUCGUGAAGAGGGAAACAACCCAGACCGCCAGCUAAGGUCCCAAAGUCAUGGUUAAGUGGGAAACGAUGUGGGAAGGCCCAGACAGCCAGGAUGUUGGCUUAGAAGCAGCCAUCAUUUAAAGAAAGCGUAAUAGCUCACUGGUCGAGUCGGCCUGCGCGGAAGAUGUAACGGGGCUAAACCAUGCACCGAAGCUGCGGCAGCGACACUAUGUGUUGUUGGGUAGGGGAGCGUUCUGUAAGCCUGUGAAGGUGUACUGUGAGGUAUGCUGGAGGUAUCAGAAGUGCGAAUGCUGACAUAAGUAACGAUAAAGCGGGUGAAAAGCCCGCUCGCCGGAAGACCAAGGGUUCCUGUCCAACGUUAAUCGGGGCAGGGUGAGUCGACCCCUAAGGCGAGGCCGAAAGGCGUAGUCGAUGGGAAACAGGUUAAUAUUCCUGUACUUGGUGUUACUGCGAAGGGGGGACGGAGAAGGCUAUGUUGGCCGGGCGACGGUUGUCCCGGUUUAAGCGUGUAGGCUGGUUUUCCAGGCAAAUCCGGAAAAUCAAGGCUGAGGCGUGAUGACGAGGCACUACGGUGCUGAAGCAACAAAUGCCCUGCUUCCAGGAAAAGCCUCUAAGCAUCAGGUAACAUCAAAUCGUACCCCAAACCGACACAGGUGGUCAGGUAGAGAAUACCAAGGCGCUUGAGAGAACUCGGGUGAAGGAACUAGGCAAAAUGGUGCCGUAACUUCGGGAGAAGGCACGCUGAUAUGUAGGUGAAGUCCCUCGCGGAUGGAGCUGAAAUCAGUCGAAGAUACCAGCUGGCUGCAACUGUUUAUUAAAAACACAGCACUGUGCAAACACGAAAGUGGACGUAUACGGUGUGACGCCUGCCCGGUGCCGGAAGGUUAAUUGAUGGGGUCAGCGCAAGCGAAGCUCUUGAUCGAAGCCCCGGUAAACGGCGGCCGUAACUAUAACGGUCCUAAGGUAGCGAAAUUCCUUGUCGGGUAAGUUCCGACCUGCACGAAUGGCGUAAUGAUGGCCAGGCUGUCUCCACCCGAGACUCAGUGAAAUUGAACUCGCUGUGAAGAUGCAGUGUACCCGCGGCAAGACGGAAAGACCCCGUGAACCUUUACUAUAGCUUGACACUGAACAUUGAGCCUUGAUGUGUAGGAUAGGUGGGAGGCUUUGAAGUGUGGACGCCAGUCUGCAUGGAGCCGACCUUGAAAUACCACCCUUUAAUGUUUGAUGUUCUAACGUGGACCCGUGAUCCGGGUUGCGGACAGUGUCUGGUGGGUAGUUUGACUGGGGCGGUCUCCUCCUAAAGAGUAACGGAGGAGCACGAAGGUUGGCUAAUCCUGGUCGGACAUCAGGAGGUUAGUGCAAUGGCAUAAGCCAGCUUGACUGCGAGCGUGACGGCGCGAGCAGGUGCGAAAGCAGGUCAUAGUGAUCCGGUGGUUCUGAAUGGAAGGGCCAUCGCUCAACGGAUAAAAGGUACUCCGGGGAUAACAGGCUGAUACCGCCCAAGAGUUCAUAUCGACGGCGGUGUUUGGCACCUCGAUGUCGGCUCAUCACAUCCUGGGGCUGAAGUAGGUCCCAAGGGUAUGGCUGUUCGCCAUUUAAAGUGGUACGCGAGCUGGGUUUAGAACGUCGUGAGACAGUUCGGUCCCUAUCUGCCGUGGGCGCUGGAGAACUGAGGGGGGCUGCUCCUAGUACGAGAGGACCGGAGUGGACGCAUCACUGGUGUUCGGGUUGUCAUGCCAAUGGCACUGCCCGGUAGCUAAAUGCGGAAGAGAUAAGUGCUGAAAGCAUCUAAGCACGAAACUUGCCCCGAGAUGAGUUCUCCCUGACUCCUUGAGAGUCCUGAAGGAACGUUGAAGACGACGACGUUGAUAGGCCGGGUGUGUAAGCGCAGCGAUGCGUUGAGCUAACCGGUACUAAUGAACCGUGAGGCUUAACCUUACAACGCCGAAG